ensembl:lincRNA
UUCACAUUUGCCAGAAACUGUUCUAAAAGCUCUAGAUGUAUUAACCCAUUUAAUUUUCACAGAAAUUCUAUAGAUUAAAUAUUUCCUACCUAUUUUUUUUAGAUGAACAAGCAAAGACCCCACAAGGCUAAUUUUCAGAGCUAGUAAAUGAGAGAAGAGAACACAAGGAAAAUGAAGAAAGACAAAAUAUUAGCAUCUCUGACAUUUACAGAACAGAUGGGAGAGAAGAACCUGGAGGAAAGCUGUAAAGGGUACAUCAGAGAGUGCCUAUCUUGAGGGUUGGAACAUACGUAGUGGAUAUUCUAUUGUAUUUGCUGAGAGAUUGAUGGAAUCAAUGAUAAAUGAGUAAGUGAGGGUAAAAUUUGGCAUUCAAUACUAUUUUAAAUUAUCCUCCAUAGCUCUAUAAACUCUAGUGGUUUUAUC